rnacentral:rRNA from 1 species
UGCAAAUUUUGUAACUAACAGACGUUGUCUUCCUCUCUCAUAUUCAAUGAAAAGCUGCACAGCAGCAUUUUCGUCAAAAAAAUAGUCAGCCCACAAGGCCCCAAGAUUCAUUCAGCCCAUGCCCUCCUUCAAAGGCCAAGGCCCAGAGCAAACAGACGGCAGUUACAGCGUCAGCUCCAACCAAAUUAUCCACAGAGUCCCCCUGAGCUCGCUCGCACGCCGCGGCCGGGUAACACCACCACCGGGCGCCAUGGCCUCCUCCUUCCUCUCCCUACGCCUCCCUACCCCCUCCCCGCCCACCGCGACGUCGUCCCCGUUCUUCCCGAAUCCCCUAGUCCGGUCUGGAAGGUGCAGUCCGCCGUCCUCUACCCUCGUGGCGCGUGUUGCCGGGUCGGCGGCGGGGGCUCCGUCGCCGUUGUUCAACCCGAGGGGCGACCCGUUCCUAUCCACGCUAGCCGCUGCUUCUCCAGAGCAGCUAGCGGCAGCUGCGGGUGGCGAACGCCGCGGCGAGGACCACCUUCCGUUCCUCGAGAUCUUCCAGAACGCCAAGCUCAUGUCCUCGCCCGCGCAGGUGGAACGUUCUAGCAGCUCUUACAGUCAGCACAGUCCUAGAAGGCCUCCUCCGGAUUUGCCAUCGUUGCUUCUACAUGGACGGAUCGUUUAUAUUGGCAUGCCGUUGGUUCCAGCAGUUACCGAGCUUAUUGUUGCCCAGUUGAUGUACCUUGAUUGGAUGAAUAGUAGUGAGCCUGCAUAUAUAUACAUCAACUCAACAGGAACGGCUCGUGAUGAUGGUGAACCAGUUGGAAUGGAGACAGAAGGUUUUGCUAUAUAUGAUGCCAUGAUGCGGAUGAAAACUGAGGUUCACACACUUUGUAUAGGAGCUGCAGCUGGUCAUGCCUGCCUUGUCCUUUCAGCAGGGAAGAAAGGCAAACGCUAUAUGUUUCCCCAUGCCAAAGCUUUGAUUCAGCAACCUCGUAUUCCUUCAUAUGGGAUGAUGCAAGCCUCUGAUGUUGUUAUUCGUGCAAAAGAGGUCGUGCACAACAGGAACACCCUGGUCAAACUUCUAGCAAGGCACACUGGAAAUCCACCGGAGAAAAUAGACAAGGUGAUGAGAGGGCCAUUUUAUAUGGACUCUUUGAAAGCCAAGGAGUUUGGGGUAAUUGACAAGAUCCUUUGGCGCGGUCAGGAGAAGUACAUGUCUGACAUGCUCUCCCCUGAGGAUUGGGACAAGGUUGCUGGAGUCAGAGGCCCCGGUGGAAUGUGAAGUUGUGCACUGGAACUCGAAUACUUGGUUAGGCCUUUGAGCUCGCAGUCGCAGGGGCUGAACGAACAAUCUUGCCUGUCGACAGGUUGUCAGAGCCGAGGGUACCUAUUGUACGGACUAUGGACAAGCUAGAUUAGAACUUGGACGAUCAUGUUAGUGCGUAUGUUCUCGGGAUUGGAGCUAGCGAGUGUUUUGGGUGGAGCUAUUGUUGUUGGUCUGCUCGUUUGCCAGUCCAGGUUUUGGUACUCUGCUCACUGUUGGUGCAUAGUGUACACGGUUUAUGGACCCAAAGGGGUGGAUGAGGAAAACAACCGAGAUGAAAAUGUUAUCAGCACGAACAUGAUGUGUCUUUUCUUAUUUAUUUUUUUACUGCAGGGGAGCACGAACAUGUUGUGGACUGAAACGUUGCCAUCGAGGGCCUCUUUGUUUUGCAGGAUUCUCAAAACGCAGGAAUAGAAAAAUAAAUAUAGGAUUGGAUUGACAUGUCCACUUGAAUCAUAUAGGAUUAACAGAGUGUGUUUGAU